ensembl:lncRNA
CUGCCAUCGGCUGGUGGAGUUCUAGCAUCCCUAGGACAGAGUCCCUGUAGCCUUGAAGACUGGGCAUCAGAGAAACACAGUCCGAGAUGGCUCUGGCUCUAGGAAGAGAGUUAAAGUCACAUCUGCCCAACCCCCAGACUGGAAGCUCAGGUUCAGCUGCGGCCCAGGACCCCGGCUCAGAGCCCAGCACACAGUCAGUGCUUCUAGACCAGCGUUCAGACCCCACGUGGGCUUCAGAGAGCAGAUGCUCCUGGGGCUGCCAAGCCAGCAGUAGUCAGGGAGGAAAGGAACCGACGGCGGAGCUGGAAGGGACUUCAAAGCCUUGUGCCUCCUCUGGCUCCCAGGGUGGGGCCCGUGCCAUCUCUGCAGGCCAGGCUGGAUGGAUGUUUACUAUGCUUCACGACAUAUUAAACGCAGGUGCUGACCCCUGUUCUGGGCGUCGGUCGCUUGUUGCUGCUGGACGUUCUCUGAAGACUGGGUGGAGCAAGCCUGCAGGCGGAUGAGCAGAGCCUGGGGCACGUUUCGGCUCAAAGGGGCCAAAGCAAACAUGGAUGUCUCAACCGAGCACAUUCCUGAGCACAUUAAACUGGGUGCAGUGAGCCCAACCGGAUGGAUGGAGUCGGGGAGGGGACAGGUCGUAGCCCUGCACGCAGCCGGGCGGGGCAGUCGGCUCUCGGAGGGGCCCAGCGCUCAGCCUUCUUCCCUCCUCUGUUCCUUCCGUGGGCUGUUAGAAACCCGCCCCCGGCCCCCCGCAACCACGGGGCAAGUGUGUCUGUCCAGGCUUGCGGGGAGGGGGUUGGCUGAUUGAGGGUCCCCAUCAGCACUGCCCGUAAGGAACGUACUAACGGACGGGCAGACAGGCUGCGGUGGAGCCAGCCAGCCGGCAGGAAAGGAUUAUGUGAGACGCAAAACGGUUGUGACAGACUGCCCGGCCGGAGACCUGGGGGAUGGGGGUUUCGUAAGUCGACGCAGGCCCAGAGGAGUUACAGGAAGCACCAGGUGGGAUCUGCAGGGGAACGUUUUGGACCCGGUGCCCGUGAAAGACGGUCAG